UACGGAGGAUGCGAGCGUUAUCCGGAUUUAUUGGGUUUAAAGGGUGCGUAGGCGGAAUAUCAAGUCAGCGGUAAAAAUUCGAGGCUCAACCCCGUCGUGCCGUUGAAACUGAUGUUCUUGAGUGGGCGAGAAGUAUGCGGAAUGCGUGGUGUAGCGGUGAAAUGCAUAGAUAUCACGCAGAACUCCGAUUGCGAAGGCAGCAUACCGGCGCCCAACUGACGCUGAAGCACGAAAGCGUGGGUAUCGAACAGG
rnacentral:rRNA from 1 species